rnacentral:rRNA from 1 species
GACGAACCGUGCGAACGUUGUUCGGAAUCACUGGGCGUAAAGGGCGCGUAGGCGGCUUUUCAAGUCGGGGGUGAAAGCCUGUGGCUCAACCACAGAAUUGCCUUCGAUACUGUUAGGCUUGAGACCGGAAGAGGUGAGUGGAACUGCGAGUGUAGAGGUGGAAUUCGUAGAUAUUCGCAAGAACACCAGUGGCGAAGGCGGCUCACUGGUCCGGUUCUGACGCUGAGGCGCGAAAGCGUGGGGAGCAAACAGG